UACGGAGAGGGCUAGCGUUAUUCGGAAUUAUUGGGCGUAAAGGGCGCGUAGGCUGGUUAAUGAGUUAAAAGUGAAAUCCCGAGGCUUAACCUUGGAAUUGCUUUUAAAACUAUUAAUCUAGAGAUUGAAAGAGGAUAGAGGAAUUCCUGAUGUAGAGGUAAAAUUCGUAAAUAUUAGGAGGAACACCAGUGGCGAAGGCGUCUAUCUGGUUCAAAUCUGACGCUGAAGCGCGAAGGCGUGGGGAGCAAACAGGAUUAGAUACCCUGGUAGUCCACGCUGUAAACGAUGAGUGCUAA
rnacentral:rRNA from 1 species